AUUGAACGCUGGCGGCAGGCCUAACACAUGCAAGUCGAGCGGUAGCACAGAGAGCUUGCUCUCGGGUGACGAGCGGCGGACGGGUGAGUAAUGUCUGGGAAACUGCCUGAUGGAGGGGGAUGACUACUGGAAACGGUAGCUAAUACCGCAUAACGUCGCAAGACCAAAGAGGGGGACCUUCGGGCCUCUUGCCAUCAGAUGUGCCCAGAUGGGAUUAGCUAGUAGGUGGGGUAACGGCUCACCUAGGCGACGAUCCCUAGCUGGUCUGAGAGGAUGACCCGCCACACUGGAACUGUGCCACGGUCCAGACUCCGACGGGAGGCAGCAGUGGGGAAUAUUGCACAAGGGGCGCAAGACUGAUGCAGCCAUGCCGCGUGUAUGAAGAAGGCCUUCGGGUUGUAAAGUACUUUCAGCGGGGAGGAAGGUGUUGAGGUUAAUAACCUCAGCAAUUGACGUUACCCGCAGAAGAAGCACCGGCUAACUCCGUGCCAGCAGCCGCCGUAAGAC
rnacentral:rRNA from 1 species